UGGGGAAUAUUGCACAAUGGGCGCAAGCCUGAUGCAGCAACGCCGCGUGAACGAUGAAGGUCUUCGGAUCGUAAAGUUCUGUUGCAGGGGAAGAUAAUGACGGUACCCUGUGAGGAAGCCCCGGCUAACUACGUGCCAGCAGCCGCGGUAAUACGUAGGGGGCUAGCGUUAUCCGGAUUUACUGGGCGUAAAGGGUGCGUAGGUGGUCUUUCAAGUCGGUGGUUAAAGGCUACGGCUCAACCGUAGUUAGCCUCCGAAACUGGAAGACUUGAGUGCAGGAGAGGAAAGUGGAAUUCCCAGUGUAGCGGUGAAAUGCGUAGAUAUUGGGAGGAACACCAGUAGCGAAGGCGGCUUUCUGGACUGCAACUGACACUGAGGCACGAGAGCGUGGGUAGCAAACAGG
rnacentral:rRNA from 1 species